CCUACGGGUGGCAGCAGGGGGGAAUAUUGGGCAAUGGGCGCAAGCCUGACCCAGCAACGCCGCGGGAAGGAAGAAGGCGUUCGGGUUGUAAACGUCUUGUAAGAGGGAAGAGCAGAAGACGGUACCUCUUGAAUAAGCCACGGCUAACUACGUGCCAGCAGCCGCGGUAAUACGGAGGUGGCAAGCGGUGUCCGGAGUUACUGGGUGUAAAGGGCGUGCAGCCGGGAAGACAAGUCAGAUGUGAAAUCCCGCGGCUCAACCGCGGAACUGCCUUUGAAACUGUUUUUCUUGAGUACCGGAGAGGUCAUCGGUAUUCCUUUUGUCGCGGUGAAAUGCGUAGAUUUCAGGAG
rnacentral:rRNA from 1 species